rnacentral:rRNA from 1 species
CACGUAGGGCGCAAGCGUUGUCCGGAAUUAUUGGGCGUAAAGAGCUCGUAGGCGGUCUGUUACGUCUGCUGUGAAAACCCGGGGCUUAACCCCGGGCUUGCAGUGGAUACGGGCAGACUAGAGGCAGGUAGGGGAGAAUGGAAUUCCCGGUGUAGCGGUGAAAUGCGCAGAUAUCGGGAGGAACACCAGUGGCGAAGGCGGCUCACUGGCCCGAUACUGACGCUGAGGCACGGAAAGCGUGGGGAGCAAACAGG